rnacentral:lncRNA from 1 species
UCCAUUCACUCUACUUUUUCGUGACCAAUAAUCAGUAUGAUCACCACGCAAGUGGUAAAAGAUUUGGUGUUUAGUAUUCGAGGUCUCGAAUUCGAAUUUUACAGUUAGCUGUAUUUCUAAAGCACUGCGUAUUGCGUCCUAAUUUUAUUUUUAUAAUAAUAUCAGAUGAAUCUUAAUACCAAAUUAAGUCUGUAUCAUCAAAUUCGACGAGGGAGGAGGGGAGGGUACGAGAUUUGUUUAAAGAGAAAAAAACAAAAAAG